rnacentral:tRNA from 1 species
GGAGCAUUAGCGCAGUUGGCAGCGCACCUGAUUUGGGAACAGGUGGCCGCCGGUUCGAGUCCGGCAUGUUCCACCA